CACUCGCAAAAAAAAUAAUUUUGUUAUCAAUUUUUAAGUGUUUACGAAGCAAUUGUCGGAAUAAAAACAACAAAAAGCAGAAAGCACGUCAACUUUGACAUCAAUUUCAGACAAUAAAGUGUUAGAAAAAUGAAUGGCUGGCUGAUUUUUAUCAUAAUUAUCUCAAUUUUGUGUGCUCUUUGUGCUUUUUUUUAUUGCUGCACAAUCCGGCAAUUCAUGCCGACACGCGGAACAGUCGAGGAUUACUAUAGAAAAAGCGUAAAUGGAUCAAAAACGAUGAAAAAUGGCAAAAAAGAUGCAGAAAUUCAAAUGGAGGAGACCAAAGCAGAGAAAAAACAUGAAACACAUACAACGAAACAUUAUUCGGAUAAAGUUGAAAUAGUUUGAGGAGGUAGAAGAAGAAGAAAUGUUCAAAAAGAGGAAUGAGACUGUGAUAUUUUGAAGUUUUCGGAGAAAAAAUUUCAAGGCCAACGAGAGUAGAGUAGCAAAAAGGAGUUGUUUUUAUCAUGAGAGACAAACAGGAGAUCUCGUACAAGUACAAUUUUGAAAAAAAAAUUAAAAAAAUGUGAAAAAGUUAAAUAAAAAAAAAAUACAAUUUUUUAUGCAAAGAAGU